UCUGGUAUUUUUUUGGUUAUUUCUAAUGGUCAGCUUAUUUAAGUGCAUUAAUCUCUGUCUGAAUGUAUGUUGUUUAUAUUUCAGUCCACACCAACAACCAAAGAAGAACCUGGAAAAAAUGCUCAGUCAUCCAAGGUACGUACUUAACUUACAGCUUUGGUGAUCUUUUGCACUUUGUUCUUUGACCAACUUUGAAGUGAUAGGUUAAAGUCUUUGCUUCUACUGUGCUGCAUAAGGCUGCUGCAUGAGUAGUAACAUAUCCAUGCGCAAAAAAGCUAUGAGCCAACAGCCAACAAACUCUCAAAAUAACCAGCCAUCUGAAGAGAGACAAAAAGAAUCCAGUGGUGCAAAAGGACAAAUUGCACCUUCUGCUUCUAAACCAACUAAUACAGGAAAGGUAGCUACAAGUCAAGCUGAGCAGCCUCCACAAACAACCUCCAGAGAGCCAGCACAGGUAUAGUAAAAGUAGCAAUCCAAUUUUUAUUAUUUAUGUUACUGUAAAGGUUAGAAAUGCACAUCAAGAUGCACAUCUUAUGCUGAAUAUUGUCAAGCAAGACUGAACCCCCAAAAGUCAAAAUGUAGAAGAACUGAGAACCUGUCUUGUAUUUGAAAGUGCACAUAACAAACCUCUUCUUGUGCUGGUCUAAAACCUGGAAUUUCUGAAACUUUAAAUUCUACACACAAAUUAACACCCUGAAUAUACUGAAUCCAGCUAACACGUGGUAGUGGUAAUUGAUAAGGAUUGGCUGCAA
rnacentral:lncRNA from 1 species